CGGCCAUUCUGUCCUUUUAUUAGAGUUUAAUUUGGUGAGACUGUUCAAGAGGGUAAUCUCCUCACACAACUUUAAGUACUUCAUUAAAUAUUCCUACAUAAAUGUUCAGCUAAUGGUACAGGAUGUGGUGUUUGUCAUUCAAGAGAUCUGUUGUUCAGGUUUAGUAAAGAUGUGGUUACAUGUCCUAACUGCU